rnacentral:rRNA from 1 species
AGCUUGCUCCCGGAUGUUAGCGGCGGACGGGUGAGUAACACGUGGGUAACCUGCCUGUAAGACUGGGAUAACUCCGGGAAACCGGAGCUAAUACCGGAUAGUUCCUUGAACCGCAUGGUUCAAGGAUGAAAGACGGUUUCGGCUGUCACUUACAGAUGGACCCGCGGCGCAUUAGCUAGUUGGUGGGGUAAUGGCUCACCAAGGCGACGAUGCGUAGCCGACCUGAGAGGGUGAUCGGCCACACUGGGACUGAGACACGGCCCAGACUCCUACGGGAGGCAGCAGUAGGGAAUCUUCCGCAAUGGACGAAAGUCUGACGGAGCAACGCCGCGUGAGUGAUGAAGGUUUUCGGAUCGUAAAGCUCUGUUGUUAGGGAAGAACAAGUGCGAGAGUAACUGCUCGCACCUUGACGGUACCUAACCAGAAAGCCACGGCUAACUACGUGCCAGCAGCCGCGGUAAUACGUAGGUGGCAAGCGUUGUCCGGAAUUAUUGGGCGUAAAGGGCUCGCAGGCGGUUUCUUUAAGUCUGAUGUGAAAGCCCCCGGCUCAACCGGGGAGGGUCAUUGGAAACUGGGAAACUUGAGUGCACAAGAGGAGAGUGGAAUUCCACGUGUAGCGG